GGGAGAGAGCAGAGGGAUUGCCCUAGUAACGGCGAGUGAAGCGGCAACAGCUCAAAUUUGAAAUCUGGCUUUCGGGCCCGAGUUGUAAUUUGUAGAGGAUGAUUUUGAUGCGGUGCCUUCCGAGUUCCCUGGAACGGGACGCCAUAGAGGGUGAGAGCCCCGUCUGGUUGGAUGCCAAAUCUCUGUAAAUCUCCUUCGACGAGUCGAGUAGUUUGGGAAUGCUGCUCUAAAUGGGAGGUAUAUGUCUUCUAAAGCUAAAUACCGGCCAGAGACCGAUAGCGCACAAGUAGAGUGAUCGAAAGAUGAAAAGCACUUUGAAAAGAGAGUUAAAAAGUACGUGAAAUUGUUGAAAGGGAAGCGUUUAUGACCAGACUUGGGCUUGGUUAAUCAUCUGGGGUUCUCUCCAGUGCACUUUUCCAGCCCAGGCCAGCAUCAGUUUUCGCCGGGGGAUAAAGACUUCGGGAAUGUGGCUCCCCUCGGGGAGUGUUAUAGCCCGUUGUGUAAUACCCUGGCGGGGACUGAGGUUCGCGCUUCUGCAAGGAUGCUGGCGUAAUGGUCAUCAACGACCCGUCUUGAAACACGGACCAAGGAGUCGUCUUCGUAUGCGAGUGUUCGGGUGUCAAACCCCUACGCGUAAUGAAAGUGAACGCAGGUGAGAGCUUCGGCGCAUCAUCGACCGAUCCUGAUGUUCUCGGAUGGAUUUGAGUAAGAGCAUACGGGGCCGGACCCGAAAGAAGGUGAACUAUGCCUGUGUAGGGUGAAGCCAGAGGAAACUCUGGUGGAGGCUCGCAGCGGUUCUGACGUGCAAAUCGAUCGUCAAACAUGGGCAUGGGGGCGAAAGACUAAUCGACAUCAGGGC
rnacentral:rRNA from 1 species